UACGAGAGGCGCAAACGUUAUUCGGAAUUACUGGGCUUAAAGAGUUCGUAGGCGGCGCGGAAAGUAGGGUGUGAAAGCCCUCGGCUCAACCGAGGAAUUGCGCCCUAAACUGCCGUGCUUGAGGAACCUAGAGGUGAGCAGAACAGAUGGUGGAGCGGUGAAAUGCGUAGAUAUCUGGAGGAACACCGGUGGCGAAGGCGGCAUCCUGGACCGGUAUUGACGCUGAGGCGCGAAAGCCAGGGGAGCAAACGGG
rnacentral:rRNA from 1 species